GUUCUCCAGAACCAGACUACAGGAGAGAUGAUCAUCCAGACUGUCUCAAAGUCAGAUGAAGGUUUCUACCACUGUAAACACCCAGAGAGAGGAGAAUCACUGAAAAGCUGGCUCUUAUUCAGAUUCUCAGGUUCUACAUCCAGUGGUUUAACAGUAGGACUGGUUGUGGGUUUGGGAUUUUUGUUUAUCGCUUUUCUGAUCUUAAUGAUCCUGCUGUGGUUCUGCAAAAGAAAAAAAGGUCUGAGAACUGAUUUAGCUAUGCUAUGUAGAAUAUAACCAGAAAUAUUAAAGAGUGUUGCAUUUUGAUUUUUUUUUAUCCAUGAUGACAUUAAAGUCAUCUGUUGCUGCUUCUGUCGUUUCAUCGCUGACCAUGCCGCAACUGCGAUACCUGUUCAUUAUACCUUUCAGUGAGCUAGUUUUAGAGUGUGCACUCUCUACAUUUUCAAAUGCUGAAUGAUAAAAGAAGCUAAAAUUAAACCCAGAGUUUAUAGAUCUACUCUAAAAAAGCAGCUAGAUGUCAGUGUAGUUUUUUCUGCAGGAGACUGAUAAUGACUGAUGUUUAUAUUGAUGAGUUAUGACUGAUGUAUAAAAAAGCUAAAGAUCAUUGGAUGGUUUUGUUCUCAGCUACUGCAGGUGCUGAUGCUGAUGUGACUUAUGCUGAGAUUGAACUAAAACCAACAAAAAAAGCAAAGAGAAUAAAAGAAAAGGCCAGUGUGGCUGAUGAUACUGUCUAUUCAGCGGUGAAGCACAACAUGGAGUGAGCCAUGUGUCUGUUCUGAUGAAGCUCCAGUUAUCCAACAGAUGGAAGGAAAACCUAUAGACAGAUAGAUAGAUAGAUAGAUAGAUAGAUAGAUAGAUAGAUAGAUAGAUAGAUAGAUAGAUAGAUAGAUAGAUAGAUAGAUAGAUAGAUAGAUAGAUCACUUUAAUAAUCUCAAGGGAAAAUUCACACAUUACAGCAGCAUCAAAAGAAUAGCAUAUGCAGUAAGAAAUUAUCAAGAGUAAUAAAAUAAAUAUGUGAAAUGUAUUGUCCAGGAUGGACAUUAGUUUGUUUAGUGUCUUCUUUCCCACAACCACAUCAAAACAGUUGAGGGAGCAUCCCAGUACAGAGCCAGUCUUCUUUAUCAGUUUGUUGAGCUGGAAAGAAGACAGCACUCGCAACAUCAGACGUAGAAGAUCUUCAACAUCUUACUGCAAACAUUAAAGCAUCUGAGCUUCCUCAGAAAGUAGUCUACUCAUCCCCUACCUGUACACAGCAGUAGAGUCUACUCAUCCCCUUCCUGUACACAGCAAUAGAGUCUACUCAUCCCCUUCCUGUACACAGCAGUAGAGUCUACUCAUCCCCUUCCUGUACACAGCAGUAGAGUCUACUCAUCCCCUUCCUGUACACAGCAAUAGAGUCUACUCAUCCCCUUCCUGUACACAGCAGUAGAGUCUACUCAUCCCCUUCUUGUACACAGAAGUAGAGUCUACUCAUCCCCUCCCUGAACACAGUUCUCUGAGCGAUCCUCUCAUGCUGUUGCUCUGAGGCUGAGUGUUUUGGUGGAUUUGGGGGAGAUUCUGCUCCUUCUUGUACUUCUUUAUUGUACAUCACUGUAUAUCGUAAUAGUGUUUCUAUGUUUUUCAGUAAUGACAAACAAAAAACAGCAAGAGGGAACAAAUUUAUUUGAUGAAUUUCCUCUGGUGUUCUUAGACCUCAGUUUAUCCUGAUAUCAACACAGAAGAGUUUGCUGUGAUUAAACCAGGAAUCCAACAAUUUGGGAAUAUUUCAGUUUUAGACUGCUGGGUGGAAGAAGGGAAAAAACAGUGACUGAGGCCUCUGUGGAGUCCCAACUGUAUAAGUAGUGGAUGAGUGGAUACUGGAUAGUAAUCCCAGCUGCAUUAUGGACUGUAUAAAGACUGAAAACAUGAAAUGUCCUUAAACAAUUACUGAACAAAAUACUGCAUUUAUAAAUACGUUGGUUUCAUGCACGUGUCACUUCCGGCAACACUGCACGAGCUCCCAGCGCCAUCUAGCGGCUGUGUGCGGGACAACAUUAACAUCUCAGCUAUUUAAAUAAGUUUGAUAAAAUAUUCCUUUUCCACCUGCUGGUCUAUAGAUACAGAAAACCUGAGACAUGUCUUUGUAAUAGAGAGAUCGGUGGAUGUCUGGAACUGUGUUUACAGUGUGUUACUAUUGAUGUUUAAAGUAAAGAAGAGAGAACAUUUAUUUAUUAUUCUAAACAUCAACAUAAAUCAGAUUUGAACAUAAAGUAUCAUCUGAUUUAAAUGAAAGUUAUGUGAUUAUUAAAGUUAAAUAUAUCGAUCAGAACUGAGUAAUUUUAAUGGUUGGUAUUUUGUGUGGUCAAGCAUGAAAUAUUAUUUCAGGAAAGCACAGCUGUAUAUAGGAUUUAUCUCCUUCCUGAUACUGACUUAUGACUGAUAACUGAUUUAAUCUCUGUGGUAUUAUUAGCAUUAGAAACUAUUUGCCCUGUUUGCCCUCAUAUUUAUUUCUAUAAUCAUUUAUUUCCAGCACACUAUAAACGCAUGGCUUAGAAUAAACAAUAAACAAUAAGUAGUUUAAAGAAA